GUUAUGUGUUCAAAUCACAUCGGGUUCAUCGAGUCCUCGUCGUCCAUUUUUAUUUUUCGGUAGUUCCUGAUUCGACAGAAUUUCAACCCUGAGAAAGAUUGUAUUUUACAUAUACAUUUUUUCCCGGAUUUUCUGUUUUAUUUCUUGUUGCCUUCUCGAAUAUCAAUGUCAUUUUUCUCUUUCUUCUGGUUGUCAAAUGCUCAUUCCGCUUGAUACACUCUAAGCAGAUUGGACUCUCAAAUGUCCGCUAGUUACUCGUUCACACCUAAAAGUAAUGAUAAUGAAUUCUACACAGGCUUGAUGGAAAAUACGAAGCUAAAUAAGCGGCCAUGUAUUCACGACAGAGAACAAAUCAAAGAUGAUUCCACCCAAAGAGGAGAAGGGCAGAUUUGAAACUUGCGAAUUGGCAUCGACAAACCGUAUAAUCGAUUUCUUAUAACACUCAGCCUGGAAAGCAAAAAUAGCUUUGUCUAUAUGGAAUAAAAAAACACUCGAUUACUGCUCCAACAUAAUGCCUCCCUCUAUUUUCCUCACACCAUGACUAUCUCACCACCCAGCUCGUGGCUCCACCUUAUUUCCCUUCCAUCGGUCCCAACAACCAGCUCGGUGUUCAUCCUCACAUCUCGGCCCUAAUGCCAACCUCUAAUAAAUAAAUCCGUUCCAUCCAUAUUGCCAGUCUCAACACAGACUUGUUCACCUGCAGAUCCGUGCCGUUGAACACGUGGCUGAAAAUAGAAUCACACGUCAAAUCCAUUCUUGCCGGGUGGCAUUUGCUAAUCAAAGUAACCGUUUCACUUAGACUAAAUGAAUGAUUGCCGAUUCGUCAAUGGCGGGACGGGAUGGUUGGAACUUCUAAAAGAGGC
rnacentral:sRNA from 1 species